UACGAAGGUGGCAAGCGUUGUUCGGAUUUACUGGGCGUACAGGGCGCGUAGGCGGUUGGCUAAGCCCUCCGGGAAAUCUCCAGGCUUAACCUGGAAAGUGCAGAGGGGACUGUUCAGCUAGAGGAUGGGAGAGGAGCGCGGAAUUCCCGGUGUAGCGGUGAAAUGCGUAGAGAUCGGGAGGAAGGCCGGUGGCGAAGGCGGGGCUCUGGAACAUUUCUGACGCUGAGGCUCGAAAGCGUGGGGAGCAAACAGG
rnacentral:rRNA from 1 species